GUGCUUGCUUUGGCAGCAUAUAUACUAAAACUGGAACAAUACAGAGAAGAUUAGCAUGGCCCCUGCACAAGAAUGACAUGCAAAUUCAUGAAGCAUUCCAUAUUUCU
ensembl:snRNA U6 U6 spliceosomal RNA